rnacentral:rRNA from 1 species
UGCCCUAGUAACGGCGAGUGAAGCGGCAACAGCUCAAAUUUGAAAUCUGUCUACCUUUCGUAGUCCGAGUUGUAAUUUGUAGAGGAUGCUUUUGGUGAGGUGCCUUCCGAGUUCCCUGGAACGGGACGCCAUAGAGGGUGAGAGCCCCGUACGGUUGGAUACCAAACCUCUGUAUAGCUCCUUCAACGAGUCGAGUAGUUUGGGAAUGCUGCUCUAAAUGGGAGGUAUAUCUCUUCUAAAGCUAAAUAUAGGCUAGAGACCGAUAGCGCACAAGUAGAGUGAUCGAAAGAUGAAAAGCACUUUGAAAAGAGAGUUAAACAGCACGUGAAAUUGUUGAAAGGGAAGCGCCUAUGACCAGACUUGUUUCUGGCAGUUUUGUUAGCCCUCGGGCUGAUUUACUCUGUCCAGUACAGGCCAGCAUCAGUUUGUUAUUGGGGAGAAAGGCUCUGGGAACGUAGCUCCCCCCUUCUGGGGGGAGUGUUAUAGCCCUCUGCAUAAUACCCUUUGGCAGACUGAGGACCGCGCUUCGGCAAGGAUGCUGGCGUAAUGGUCAUCAGCGACCCGUCUUGAAACACGGACCAAGGAGUCAACCUUAUGUGCGAGUGUUUGGGUGUAAAACCCCCAGCGCGUAAUGAAAGUGAACGUAGGUGAGAGCUUCGGCGCAUCAUCGACCGAUUCUGAUGUUUUCGGAUGGAUUUGAGUAAGAGCACACAGGGUUGGACCCGAAAGAAGGUGAACUAUGCUUGUAUAGGGUGAAGCCAGAGGAAACUCUGGUGGAGGCUCGCAGCGGUUCUGACGUGCAAAUCGAUCGUCAAAUAUGAGCAUGGGGGCGAAAG